rnacentral:tRNA from 1 species
GAAGGGGCGGAUGUAGCCAAGUGGAUCAAGGCAGUGGAUUGUGAAU